UACGUAGGGUGCAAGCGUUAAUCGGAAUUACUGGGCGUAAAGCGUGCGCAGGCGGUUUUGUAAGUCUGUCGUGAAAUCCCCGGGCUCAACCUGGGAAUUGCGAUGGAGACUGCAAGGCUAGAAUCUGGCAGAGGGGGGUAGAAUUCCACGUGUAGCAGUGAAAUGCGUAGAGAUGUGGAGGAAUACCGAUGGCGAAGGCAGCCCCCUGGGCCAACACUGACGCUACAUGCACGAAAGGCGUGG
rnacentral:rRNA from 1 species